AAAUUGAAGAGUUUGAUCAUGGCUCAGAUUGAACGCUGGCGGCAGGCCUAACACAUGCAAGUCGAACGGUAACAGGAAGCAGCUUGCUGCUUCGCUGACGAGUGGCGGACGGGUGAGUAAUGUCUGGGAAACUGCCUGAUGGAGGGGGAUAACUACUGGAAACGGUGGCUAAUACCGCAUAACGUCGCAAGACCAAAGAGGGGGACCUUCGGGCCUCUUGCCAUCAGAUGUGCCCAGAUGGGAUUAGCUAGUUGGUGAGGUAACGGCUCACCAAGGCGACGAUCCCUAGCUGGUCUGAGAGGAUGACCAGCCACACUGGAACUGAGACACGGUCCAGACUCCUACGGGAGGCAGCAGUGGGGAAUAUUGCACAAUGGGCGCAAGCCUGAUGCAGCCAUGCCGCGUGUAUGAAGAAGGCCUUCGGGUUGUAAAGUACUUUCAGCGGGGAGGAAGGUGUUGCGGUUAAUAACCGCAGCAAUUGACGUUACCCGCAGAAGAAGCACCGGCUAACUCCGUGCCAGCAGCCGCGGUAAUACGGAGGGUGCAAGCGUUAAUCGGAAUUACUGGGCGUAAAGCGCACGCAGGCGGUCUGUCAAGUCGGAUGUGAAAUCCCCGGGCUCAACCUGGGAACUGCAUUCGAAACUGGCAGGCUUGAGUCUUGUAGAGGGGGGUAGAAUUCCAGGUGUAGCGGUGAAAUGCGUAGAGAUCUGGAGGAAUACCGGUGGCGAAGGCGGCCCCCUGGACAAAGACUGACGCUCAGGUGCGAAAGCGUGGGGAGCAAACAGGAUUAGAUACCCUGGUAGUCCACGCCGUAAACGAUGUCUACUUGGAGGUUGUGCCCUUGAGGCGUGGCUUCCGGAGCUAACGCGUUAAGUAGACCGCCUGGGGAGUACGGCCGCAAGGUUAAAACUCAAAUGAAUUGACGGGGGCCCGCACAAGCGGUGGAGCAUGUGGUUUAAUUCGAUGCAACGCGAAGAACC
rnacentral:rRNA from 1 species